rnacentral:SRP_RNA from 16 species
GGUGUGGGGGCCGCUGCGCAGGUACAAGCUUUUCAUGCCUGAGGUGGAGCAUGCGUGGCUGGAGUGACAGCAGCGACAUCAGCGGGCUUGCGGCAGUGCUGUGACGGACC